rnacentral:rRNA from 1 species
CCUACGGGAGGCAGCAGUGGGGAAUAUUGGGCAAUGGAGGCAACUCUGACCCAGCAACGCCGCGUGAAUGAUGAAGGUCUUCGGAUUGUAAAGUUCUGUGAUGGGGGAUGAACACAAUGACGGUACACCAAUAGCAAGCCACGGCUAACUACGUGCCAGCAGCCGCGGUAAUACGGAGGAUCCGAGCGUUAUCCGGAAUCAUUGGGCGUAAAGAGUUCGUAGGGGGCAUGUAAAGUCAGGUGUUAAAGGCGCAGGCUCAACCUGUGUAUGGGACUUGAUACUUGCAAGCUGGAAUGCGGUAGAGGUAAAGGGAAUUCCUGGUGUAGCGGUGAAAUGCUUAGAUAUCAGGAGGAACAGCAGUGGCGUAAGCGCUUUACUGGGCCGUAAUUGACGCUGAGGAACGAAAGCCAGGGUAGCAAAUGGGAUUAGAUACCCGAGUAGUC